GCUUACGGCCACACCGGCCUGAGUAUGCCUGAUCUCGUCCUAUCUCGGAAGCUAAGCAGGGUCGGGCCUGGUUAGUACUUGGAUGGGAGACCGCCUGGGAAUACCAGGUGCUGUAAGCU
ensembl:rRNA 5S_rRNA 5S ribosomal RNA